UCCCGUACCAAAAGGAAAAGUUUGCCGCAAACUCGCCGCAACUUUGCCGCAAAUUCGCUGCAAACCUUUUAGUUCGCCGAAACACUGUGUCAAGAGUUUGCCAGAUAUCGCCACUAGUGGCAACUCUGUAGCAAACAUUUGGCGACUUUGCGGCAAAUUCACCAGAAUAUUAAGUAGUUCGCCAAAAGUUUGCCAGAAACUUUCAGUGGAAAACUAAUUUGCCAGAGAUUGCCAGAAUCUUUCUAUGAAAAAAAAUAUUCACUGAAAGUUCACCAGAAACUUUUCUAUAAAAACAAGUUUGCCAGAUAAUCGCCACAAACACAUCAGUUCUGAAAGUUAAUCAACUUUGUUCAGUAAAUAACUAUUUUGCCAAGGAAUUAUAUUAUUAUGCACAUAUAAAAAAAGUCCUUCAUGUACCUACCUAUAUAUAACCUACCUACCUACCUACCUACCUACCUACCCAACCCUAUUUUAAUGGGUCGGGAAGUGGAAACAAACAUAUUUUUAUUUUUUGCCUAAGAGUUAUCAAAUUGAAACAUCAUAUGUAUCAUGGAGGGUAUUGUAGUUCACAAUAACAGUUAAAAAAUUAUAAGGUAGAAGACCCAUAAUGAAAUCGGCAAUCUUCGACAAUUACCGCCAUAUCUCGCGAUUUAUCGUAACGAACUUCGUUUGUUUACGUAUAAAGUCGGAAUUCUAAUAAUAGCGGAUAUCCCCGGUCACGUGGUAGUAUUCCCCAAGAAAAUGACGUAAUUUCCGUAGAUAUCUAACAUGGCGUCUUACAGGCGUGAUACGCUCGGUCGAUUCAAAAAAGUGUAAAAAGAUGCAGAAAACCCAAGUAUUGCGACUUAAUUAUAGAACAUAACUAUAGUGCAGGUAACCAGUAUUACGGGUCAACCAAACCAGCUCUACAAAACAUCAACUCUUCCUAAAUCGGUUGAUAAUGAGGGUUGGAAAAAGGGAAGAAGAAUCGUUGAGACUCGAGUUUGGCGUGUUACGGUCAACCCUAAGAUUUUGUAAAAAAUGUAGACUUGGACCAGUAGGCUACCAUUAACUUUUGACAACAUGUUGAACAGGUGAAUUUAAACAGGGUGUGUCUGGAUAUUUGUAUGUGAAAUGUCGAAACACAGAAAUUAUGCGGUCAUGUGAAUUGUGUUCCCUAUGGAAAAACACAGACUCUAGUAGUAGUAGAUUGAAGACCUGGGAAAGUUGGAAUGCCAUGUUUCGUUGUCAACACAAAAUUAGGACCAGCAAUGAUUGAUAGUGUAGGUGGGCCGGUGAGGGGAGGGUCAACAAUUUGUUGUCAACACUCAAUAUACCAACAAUUGGAAAUAAAAACAUGAAAAGAAAUGGAGAGACGUGUUGGAAAUAUCAUUGAGACAGUGGCUUCUAUCUGUCUAUGUCGACAGAAUCUGCUGUGAAAGAUCAAGGAAAUUGAGGAUGUGCAUCAUGAAGAAUCAAUGGUAUCAGAACACAACAUCAUGGAAGAUCUUAUUGACAAGAUCUUGGAGGAUGUCCUUUGCCAGAUGCCUCGCCAGCACUAAAGUCUAUUCUUCAGUCAGAUGCUACAGUUACAAAUGACAGUGAAUGGUCAGAUUUAUACAAUUGUGAUGAACAAUCCUCAACAAUACAUCAAACAAAAAUUGCUAUUAAACUUUCUCACAGACUGUCAAAGGUUGAAAACAAAUCAGAAGUGGUCCACAUCUUGAAAAACCUCACAGCAGAUUAAGACUUUCCCCGAAAUUUCCCUGUAAAACCAGCAGUGGUAUGUCCAAUUCAGUAGAUACUGCCUGGCACAAAAGAGGAUUUGACAGUUUAACAUUGUACUGCAUCAAUAAACUAAAUAUGGAGAGUAGCUUAGUCACCAAAGCAGUCAACACCAAAAUACACACAAUGGCCAGGGCACUGAAACUUGGAAGAGUGAAAGAGUAAAGUAGUGCGUUUUUAGCUUACAAAGUGACAUUGCGAGCUUUUGUCUAUCAUUCAUCCGUAAACUUGAUCUUUAAACAACAUCUCAUAAAUUGCCAAGCCAAUUUCAUGCAAACUUACAAUAUUGUCUAGUCAGUUUUUGUUUUGCUUGCAAUUGUUAUAUGACAUGACUAAAGACAUUUAGUUUUAUUCUUCAGUUAUUAUGUUUAUGUUUGUAUAAGACCCAAAUAUAUUGUUUAGAUUCAUUUUUACACAUUUGAAAGCCAUUAUUGUUCUAGUCAGUUUUUGUUUUGCUUGCAAUCGUUAUAUGACAUGACUAAAGACAUUUAGUUUUAAUCUUUGAUAAUUAUGUCUAUAUUUGUAUAAGACCCAAAAAUAUUGUUAAGAUUCAUUUUUACAAUUUUAAAAGCCAUUAUUGCUCUAGUCUGUUUUUGUUUUGCUUGCAAUCGUUAUAUGACAUGACUAAAGACAUUUAGUUUAAAUCUUUAGUUAUUAUGUCUAUGAGGGGCAUCCUUGGCCGAGUGAUUAAGGUCAUUGACUUCAAACCACUUGCCCCUCACCACUGUGGGUUGGAAUCCCGACAGGGACUUUGGAUUCUUUCAUGUGAGGAAGCUAUCCAGCUAGCUUAACUGAACGUCGGUGGUUCUACUCAGAUACCCGUUCGUGCCUGAAAUAAUGCAAGGAAGGGCACCUGAACGUCACGAUAUGACCUAUACUGUGUCGAUGUGACGUAAAAACCCAAAACAAACAAACAAAAAAAUUAUGUCAAUGAAAUUCGUUGUUU